AACGCUGGCGGCGUGCCUAACACAUGCAAGUCGAACGGCAGCAGCUUCUAGCUUGCUAGAAGGCUGGCGAGUGGCGGACGGGUGAGUAACGCGUAGGAAUAUACCCUAUAGCGGGGGAUAACACGGGGAAACUCGUGCUAAUACCGCAUACACCCUACGGGGGAAAGCUGGGGACUAUUUAUAGCCUGGCACUAUAGGAAUAGCCUGCGUCAGAUUAGCUUGUUGGUGAGGUAAAGGCUCACCAAGGCGAUGAUCUGUAGCUGGUCUGAGAGGACGAACAGCCACACUGGAACUGAGACACGGUCCAGACUCCUACGGGAGGCAGCAGUGGGGAAUAUUGGACAAUGGGCGCAAGCCUGAUCCAGCAAUGCCGCGUGUGUGAAGAAGGCCUUAGGGUUGUAAAGCACUUUCAGUAGGGAAGAGGUUUAAGUUGUAAAUAGCGACUUAAAUGGACAUUACCUACAGAAGAAGCACCGGCUAACUCUGUG
rnacentral:rRNA from 1 species